UUCCUGUCUACUUGAAGCCAC
rnacentral:miRNA from 1 species